rnacentral:rRNA from 1 species
CUACGGGGUGCUGCAGUGAGGAAUAUUGCACAAUGGGGGGAACCCUGAUGCAGCAACGCCGCGUGGAGGAUGACGCAUUUCGGUGUGUAAACUCCUUUUAUAUGUCAAGAAAAUGACGGUAGCAUAUGAAUAAGCACCGGCUAACUCCGUGCCAGCAGCCGCGGUAACACGGAGGGUGCAAGCGUUACUCGGAAUCACUGGGCGUAAAGGACGCGUAGGCGGGUUGGAAAGUCAGGUGUGAAAUCCUACAGCUUAACUGUAGAACUGCACUUGAAACUUCUAAUCUAGAGUAUGGGAGGGGGAGAUGGAAUUAGUGGUGUAGGGGUAAAAUCCGUAGAUAUCACUAGGAAUACCUAAAGCGAAGGCGAUCUCCUGGAACAUUACUGACGCUAAGGCGUGAAAGCGUGGGGAGCAAACAGGAUUAGAUACCUGGGUAGUC